AUUGAACGCUGGCGGCAGGCCUAACCCAUGCAAGUCGAGCGGAGCGGCGGACGGGUGAGUAAUGCCUAGGAAUCUGCCUGGUAGUGGGGGAUACCGUCCGGAAACGGGCGCUAAUACAGCAUACUAUCAGAUGAGCCUAGGUCGGAUUAGCUAGAUGGGGGGGUAAAGGCCUACCAAGUCGACGAUCCGUAAAUGGUCUGAGAGGAUGAUCAGUCACACUGUGACUUAGACACGGUCCAGACGCCGACGGGAGGCAGCAGUGGGGAAUAUUGGACAAUGGGCGAAAUCCUGAUCCAGCCAUGCCGCGUGUGUGAAGAAGGUCUUCGGAUUGUAAAGCACUUUAAGUUGGGAGGCGGUACCAACAGAAGAAGCACCGGCUAACUUCGUGCCAGCAGCCGCGGUAAUUC
rnacentral:rRNA from 1 species